rnacentral:RNase_P_RNA from 1 species
GCGGAGGGCCAGAUGGCCGCGUGGGGGCGACCCCGCGAGGAAAGUCCGGACUCCACAAGGCAACGGUGCCGGGUAACGCCCGGGCGGGGAAACCCGACGGAAAGCGCCACAGAGAAAAGUCUGCCUUCGUUUCGGCGGAGGUGAGGGUGAAACGGUGGGGUAAGAGCCCACCGCCCGUCUGGCAACAGAGGGGGCACGGCAAGCCCCACCGGGAGCAAUGCCAAAUAGGGAUCGCACAUGGGCAGCCUUGGCCCUGCGGUCCGGGUCGGCAGCUUGAGCCCGCGGGCAACCGCGGGACCAGAGGAAUGGUCAUCGGCCACGGGGAAACCCGCGGUUACAGAAUCCGGCUUACAGGCCCUCCGCGCAU